rnacentral:rRNA from 1 species
GACGAACGCUGGCGGCGUGCUUAACACAUGCCAGUCGAACGGAAAGGCCCUGCUUUUGUGGGGUACUCGAGUGGCGAACGGGUGAGUAACACGUGAGUAACCUGCCCUUGACUUUGGGAUAACUUCAGGAAACUGGGGCUAAUACCGGAUAGGAGCUCCUGCUGCAUGGUGGGGGUUGGAAAGUUUCGGCGGUUGGGGAUGGACUCGCGGCUUAUCAGCUUGUUGGUGGGGUAGUGGCUUACCAAGGCUUUGACGGGUGGCCGGCCUGGGAGGGUGACCGGCCACAUUGGGACUGAGAUACGGCCCAGACCCCUACGGGAGGCAGCAGUGGGGAAUAUUGCACAAUGGGCGGAAGCCUGAUGCAGCAACGCCGCGUGCGGGAUGACGGCCUUCGGGUUGUAAACCGCUUUCGCCUGUGACGAAGCGUGAGUGACGGUAAUGGGUAAAGAAGCACCGGCUAACUACGUG